UGAGAAUUGCAGGCUGCUGGCAAAAUGGAUACGGACGUUUAUCCGUCUAUUCAUCUUCUACCCAGUUAUCAGGUGAACACGCAGUUAAAACUUGUGAGGAAGAGCGAUCACCUCACUCAAGGUUCCAGUGGUCCAUCAAAACUCAGAAAGCCUAGGAAUAAGGCGAUUCUUCAGGAAAUAUUGCAGCACCUCUCUGACUUGAUGGCGGUGGGUGGCCAGGUCUUGGCAGAAGAUCAGGACAUCGUACCGUGAGGUUGUAUAGUGCCAGGCAGCAGAUCAAUGGCACAAUCACAUGGGUGAUGUGGUGGGAGAGAGGCCAUCACCUUACUGAAGACGGACCCAAGGUCUUGGUACUCUUCUGGGACCUUGGAGAGAUCUGCCCUGGACUCUGCUGAAGGCUGGAUGACUGGUGAUCCAUGCUGAGCUGUAGUGAGGCAAUGUUCAGAGCAAAAUGUGCUACAUUCUGCAAUUUGGCCAGUGUACCAGUCAAUGACCAGAUUUCCUUUUUAUUACUAUUGAUAGAUUAACCUCUCCCCAUGCAUCACAUCUGAGUUUCUUACAGUUGAUAAUUGCAAUGAGUUUGCAACCUAAUUUAGUGAUUAAAUUAAAGCUA